rnacentral:rRNA from 1 species
AUUGAACGCUGGCGGCAUGCCUUACACAUGCAAGUCGAACGGCAGCGCGGGGCAACCUGGCGGCGAGUGGCGAACGGGUGAGUAAUAUAUCGGAACGUACCCUGGAGUGGGGGAUAACGUAGCGAAAGUUACGCUAAUACCGCAUACGAUCUAAGGAUGAAAGUGGGGGAUUCGCAAGAACCUCAUGCUCCUGGAGCGGCCGAUAUCUGAUUAGCUAGUUGGUGGGGUAAAGGCCUACCAAGGCAUCGAUCAGUAGCUGGUCUGAGAGGACGGCCAGCCACACUGGAACUGAGACACGGUCCAGACUCCUACGGGAGGCAGCAGUGGGGAAUUUUGGACAAUGGGCGAAAGCCUGAUCCAGCAAUGCCGCGUGAGUGAAGAAGGCCUUCGGGUUGUAAAGCUCUUUUGUCAGGGAAGAAACGGUGAGGGCUAAUAUCCUUUGCUAAUGACGGUACCUGAAGAAUAAGCACCGGCUAACUACGUGCCAGCAGCCGCGGUAAUACGUAGGGUGCAAGCGUUAAUCGGAAUUACUGGGCGUAAAGCGUGCGCAGGCGGUUUUGUAAGUCUGUCGUGAAAUCCCCGGGCUCAACCUGGGAAUUGCGAUGGAGACUGCAAGGCUAGAAUCUGGCAGAGGGGGGUAGAAUUCCACGUGUAGCAGUGAAAUGCGUAGAGAUGUGGAGGAACACCGAUGGCGAAGGCAGCCCCCUGGGUCAAGAUUGACGCUCAUGCACGAAAGCGUGGGGAGCAAACAGGAUUAGAUACCCUGGUAGUCCACGCCCUAAACGAUGUCUACUAGUUGUCGGGUUUUAAUUAACUUGGUAACGCAGCUAACGCGUGAAGUAGACCGCCUGGGGAGUACGGUCGCAAGAUUAAAACUCAAAGGAAUUGACGGGGACCCGCACAAGCGGUGGAUGAUGUGGAUUAAUUCGAUGCAACGCGAAAAACCUUACCUACCCUUGACAUGUACGGAAGUCCGGAGAGAUCUGGAUGUGCUCGAAAGAGAGCCGUAACACAGGUGCUGCAUGGCUGUCGUCAGCUCGUGUCGUGAGAUGUUGGGUUAAGUCCCGCAACGAGCGCAACCCUUGUCAUUAGUUGCUACGAAAGGGCACUCUAAUGAGACUGCCGGUGACAAACCGGAGGAAGGUGGGGAUGACGUCAAGUCCUCAUGGCCCUUAUGGGUAGGGCUUCACACGUCAUACAAUGGUACAUACAGAGGGCCGCCAACCCGCGAGGGGGAGCUAAUCCCAGAAAGUGUAUCGUAGUCCGGAUUGUAGUCUGCAACUCGACUACAUGAAGUUGGAAUCGCUAGUAAUCGCGGAUCAGCAUGUCGCGGUGAAUACGUUCCCGGGUCU